CCCGUGUGGCUCAGUUGGUAGAGCAUGGUGUUUGUAACGCCAGGGUUGUGGGUUCGAUUCCCACCCACGGGG
rnacentral:tRNA from 1 species